UACGGAGGGUGCAAGCGUUAUCCGGAUUCACUGGGCGUAAAGCGCGCGCAGGCGGCGAUCUACGUCUGGGGUGAAAGCCCGGAGCUCAACUCCGGGACUGCCUUGGAUACGGGAUCGCUUGAGGAUUGGAGAGGCAAGGGGAAUUCCACGUGUAGCGGUGAAAUGCGUAGAUAUGUGGAGGAACACCUGUGGCGAAGGCGGCUUCCUGGACCGACACUGACGCUGAGGCGCGAAAGCUAGGGGAGCAAACGGG
rnacentral:rRNA from 1 species